AAGUCAGUGCCAUCGCCACCCUUCACGGCGAUUUUAUCAGGCAGACCUGCCGGCCAGGGAGAUGGUGAAAAUACGGAGGCUGAUGCUCAGGGCCCUCACUUGUGGGGAAGAGGAGGAGGAUGAGGAGAACCCGGAAGAACAACCGCCACAGACACAGACGAGUCGAGUGACUCCGAGUCCGAUGAGGAAGAUAAGAGCCUGUGGAUACUCCUGGAAAAGAGGAAGGAGGUGGUCUCCAUCGAGCUACUGAACAAAAUAACUGGGCAGAUGCCAGAAAGAGUGACACCACAAAAAGUCACCACCGAAGACACCACUGUGGAAACCCCGGAGCACCCCAGUGUCCCAGAUCCCCCUCCCCUCUCUGUCCAAGCCCCUGAGCCCUCCAGGAGCCCCUCACUCCCCCUCAC